rnacentral:rRNA from 1 species
UACGGGGGGGGUAAGCGUUGUUCGGAAUUACUGGGCGUAAAGGGCUCGUAGGCGGCCAACUAAGUCGGACGUGAAAUCCCUCAGCUUAACUGGGGAACUGCGUCCGAUACUGGAUGGCUUGGAUUUGGGAGAGGGAUGCGGAAUUCCAGGUGUAGCGGUGAAAUGCGCAGAUAUCAGGAGGAACACCAAUGGCGAAGGCAGGUCUCUGGGCCGAAACUGACGCUGAGGAGCGAAAGCGUGGGGAGCGAACAGG